GGAUUCUUGCUCGGGAGACGAAAGAAUUGCGCAAUCGGGUCAUCCCGUAUGUGAAAGUGCAGUGGAGCAAUCACGAGGAGCGGGAGGCGACUUGGGAGCCUAAGACGGUGAUGAGAGAGUCCUACCCCGACCUGUUCGUUACUCCGUGUUGAGGGUGGCUUGGAUGCCACGUGCACCCUUUGCAUGCUUAUCAACAAAUUAGGUGGGCAUUGCCUAAUCUUUCUACUUCUCUCUUUGUUCAACCGAAGCAAAGAGCUCGGAGGAGGUAGCCGCGAGCACGAGUUCGACGCCGACGACGCGCCGCGAAGCCGUUCGAGGGUACGGUUGGGAUUGUAGCGUUGCGAGGAAACUAGGCGAGGAUGCGUUUUCGCCGUUCUCGACGCCGCGUCGAUGUCCGAUUAGCCUUUGAGCGUCGACCGUCGGUAUUUCAGUUCGUACUCGGCGUAGGAGCGUCGGUUUUCGACGGGACUUGGUUUGUUGGAUUCGGGACUUCGAGAGGAAUCCACGAAGCCCUUACUUGCUGGAUUUGGUAAAGGUUUGCUAGAGUUUGGCGGGAGCUUGACUUCGGGCCUUGGGAGGUUUUCGGACGUUUCGGCAGGUUGUUCCGCAGCCGAGGGGAGUUCCGUGCUGCCAGGGAUUAGCGAGCGAGAGCCCCAGGUUUCGGCUGCUGCACUCUCCGAGACGGAUCGAGGCAAGGGCGUCGCGA